CAAAAAACUACACCUGUGUUCUUCUUCCGUCCACGGCGUUCCUUUCUUCCUUUCAGCCUCGCGUAGCUUUGUUUUAUUCCCAAAGGAUAUCUGAUCCAAAGCCGCCAUGGUAGAGUCAACUAAGUCAUCACUGUAAAUGGGUAACUCUAUGCGUCCGGAGUCAAUCUCAAAAACAUCAUGGGCCAGAUACUCGUAAUACUCUGUCACUUCUUGAACCGAUUUUCCUGUGUAAGCAGCAAUUUCCUGCCACCGAUCAGGCAAUUCCUCUGGAAAACGAAUCAAAGCCUCUUCAAAGAGCUUAUCAUCAUAGCGAUUCCAACAAGAAUUAAUGGAAGAAGACGGUAAGAUAAAGAGUUUAGUGAGGAUGAUGGAAGGGGAGAGUUCAAGCAAGAAGAUGGCUGUUCCUAAUGACUUUGGCUUCACUAGCAUUUUGCUUUCAUGGUCCCUUGAAGACAUAUUCAAUGAAAAUCUUUUCCAGGUGGAUGAGAUUCCGCAAUCAUUUGAAUCAGUUAAACAUUAUUUUGGAUCAUAUGUACUUCCUUUAUUAGAAGAGACACGAGCACAAUUGCAGUCAAGCAUGGAGAUUAUUUCCAGAGCACCAUAUGCUGAAGUGGUUAACUUCUCUGAGUGCAAGCCUCAUGGCUCGUUAUUGUAUGAUGUUAAGGUUGAUCACUGGAGAAACAGGUCCAGUGACCGUGGGAAGGAGCCUUACAACACAUUGCCUGGAGAUAUUGUUGUUUUGGCAAAUGCUAAACCUGAAACUGCCUCUGAUUUGCAAAGGGCAGGAAGGACAUGGGCUUUUGCAAUGGUCACUAACAUCACAGAGGAUGAGAAUGAGGCUGCUAGUACAACUACUUAUUUUAAAGUCCAGGCAUCGAAAGAUUUUGAAGUUAUUGAUGGGUUGCAGAACUCGCUGUUCGUGAUUUUCUUGAUAAAUGCAACCACUAAUAAAAGAAUAUGGAAUGCAUUGCACUUGCAAGGAAACUUGAAUAUCAUCAAGGAAUUUCUGUCUGCUGAUUCUGUGGUGAAGGAAAAGUGUGGCCGCUGUUCUGUGAGGAGGAAUGGAAUCUGGGAUGCAAAACUUGCUGUUAGUUUUUCAUCAAUAUUAAAUGAAUCCCAAACUGAGGCUGUAUUAGCUGGCCUUGAUAAAAUGCAGUGCAAUCACAGGUCUUCUGUCGAACUCAUUUGGGGACCUCCGGGGACAGGGAAAACUAAAACUGUUAGCAUCCUACUCUAUAACCUUCUAAAAAUGAAAUGUAGGACCUUGAUUUGUGCUCCAACCAAUGUUGCAGUUAUGGAAGUGGCCACAAGAGUCUUAAAGCUUGUAAUAGAAUCUCAUGAAAAAGACUCGGGAACAGAUGCUUCAAUUUAUUCUGUAGGAGAUAUUCUUUUAUUUGGGAAUAAAGAGAGGCUGAAAAUGAAUUCUGAAGUUGAAGAUAUAUAUUUGGAUUAUCGUGUUAAAAGGCUUAUAGAGUGUUUUGCACCUUUGACUGGCUGGUGGCAUUGUUUGAAUUCAACAAUUGAUUUUUUUGAGGAUUGUGUUCCUCAGUACUAUAUUUCCUUGGAAAACGAAUUGAUCAAAGGGAAGGAGCACAAUAAUGAAAGUGAAAACAAAGAUAAAACAUUCAGCUGUAAAAUAGAGGUUAGAUUGAAGGGGAACAUGUCAUUUCUUGAUUUUGCAAGAGAAAGAUUUGAGUCUAUUGCAUUACCUCUGAAACAAUGUCUCCUUAGUUUAUGCGCACACGUAUCUGAAAGUUACAUUCUGAAGCAUAAUAGAGAAAACAUUAUAUCCCUAGUUGGGCUCCUUGACACUUUUGAUUCUUUGUUGUCUCGGGAUGAUUUGAUCUCUGAUGAAGUAGAGGAGGUUUUCUCAUGUUCAGAGUUUUCUUCUCAAGGUUUUGCAGAUAUAUUACUGCUGUUGUGCUUGAGGAGAAGGGACUGCCUUUCUCUAUUGAAAUCUCUGCGUAAUUCUCUGAGAGAACUUGAUCUACCAAAUGCAAUGAACGAGAGUUCAAUAGUCAAAUUCUGUUUCGGGACAGCCUCUUUAAUUUUCUGCACAGCAUCAAGUUCAUAUAAGUUGCAUUCAAUGGCAAUAGAACCAAUGAAUUUAUUGGUAAUUGAUGAAGCUGCCCAGUUAAAAGAAUGUGAAUCAACAAUACCCCUACAAAUUCAGGGUAUCAGGCAUGCCAUUCUUAUUGGUGAUGAGUGCCAAUUACCAGCUAUGGUGGAAAGCAAAGCUUCUGACAGAGGUGGCUUUGGAAGAAGUUUAUUUGAAAGGUUGAGCUCCUUGGGUCAUCCAAAACACCUUUUGAAUAUGCAGUACAGGAUGCAUCCAUUUAUAAGCUGCUUUCCAAACUCAAAAUUUUACUUUAACGACAUCUUAGAUGCACCAAAUGUUAGGGAAAAAUGCUAUGAAAAGCAAUAUCUUCCAGGGCCAAUGUUUGGUCCUUAUUCAUUCAUAAAUGUGCUUGAUGGAAGAGAAGAGCUGGAUGAUGUUGGACAUAGCAGAAGAAAUAUGGUUGAGGUAGCUAUUGUGUUGAAACUAGUGAUGAGUCUGCACAAAGCAUGGAAUGGCUCAAACCAGAAGCUUAGAAUUGGUAUAAUAUCUCCAUAUGCUGCUCAAGUGACUGCAAUUCAAGAUAAACUUGGUCACAAGUAUGGAAAUAUUAAUGGGUUUUCAGUGAAGGUGAAGACAGUGGAUGGGUUUCAGGGUGGGGAGGAAGAUGUCAUAAUCAUAUCCACUGUGAGAUCAAAUAGAGCUGGGGCAAUUGGGUUCAUGUCCAAUCCUCGGAGAGUCAAUGUUGCUAUUACAAGAGCAAGGCACUGUCUUUGGAUUUUAGGGAAUGAAAGAACUCUAAUCAAUAGUGAAUCAAUUUGGAAGGAAUUAGUUUGUGAUGCUAAGAGGCGUCAGUGCUUCUUUAAUGUUGAUGAAGAUGAGCAAUUGGCAAAAACCAUAUUAGAAGUGAAGAAAGAGUUUGAUCAACUUGAUGAUUUGCUCAAUGGAAACAGUGUUUUCUUCAGAAGUGCUAGGUGGAAGGUUAUUUUCAGUGAGAAUUUCAUUAGAUCAUUUGGAAAGCUGACAUCAGUUCGGACAAAAACAUCUGCUUUAAACCUUCUUCUUAGACUUUCCAGUGGCUGGCGCCCCAGGAAGAGGAAUGUGAAUUUGAUUCAUGACUCUUCUAAUAUCUUGAAACAAUUCAGGGUUGAAGGGUUAUACUUAUAUGUAAUAUGUUCAAUUGACAUAGAGAAAGAAAAAAGGUACUCUCAAGUUUUGAAGGUUUGGGACAUAUUGCCAUUAGAAGAGAUUCCAGGAUUGGUCAAACGUCUCAAUGGCAUCUUUCAAGGAUAUACAGAUGAUUUUAUUAGUCAUUGCAAUGAGAAAUUUCUUGAAGGAGAUUUGGAAGUUCCCAAAACUUGGUCAACCUCUCAUGACAUUGUCCGGUUUAAGAGUCUUGUAAAAAAUGAAGGGGAAAGCAAUUUGAUUUCUGAUGAGAGAUGUUAUGUGGAGAACUCAAAAGUGAGUGACAGCUUGUUGCUAAUGAAAUUCUACUCCUUAUCCCCUGUAGCUGUAAGCCACUUGCUUUCUGGUCGUGAUGGUCUAGAACUAGAGCUCCCUUUUGAAGUGACGGAUGAAGAACUGGAAAUAAUUCUAUUCUCACAAAGUACAUUUAUAUUGGGACGAUCUGGCACUGGAAAAACAACUGUUGUAACCAUGAAGUUAUUUAAGAAAGAGCAACUUUUCCACAUGGCCACUGAAGGUUACGGUGAAGGGAGUGGCAAUACCUCCAAGGAUGAAUUCCAGAAAAUCAAUGUUGGUUAUGAUAUAAAAAAUGUUGAAAACAGUCAUGGUGAGGCUAAGAGUGUUGUUUUGCACCAGCUUUUUGUUACUGUUAGUCCUAAACUGUGUUAUGCUGUCAAACACCAAGUUUCUCAACUGAAAAGAUUUGCCUCCGGUGGAAAAUAUUCUGCAACUUGUGUUUCAGCUGAUGGGGAGGAUGUUGAUGAUGCUGCACAAUUCAAAGAUAUUCCAGAUUCUUUAAUUGAUAUUCCUUCUGAUUUGUACCCUCUUGUCAUAACUUUCCAUAAAUUUCUGAUGAUGCUUGAUGGAACAAUUGGUAAUUCUUACUUUGAAAGAUUUCCUGAUCUGAGACAGCUUUUCGAUGGUAAAAUGCAAAUUUCAGGCUCCAUUGCAGUGCAGUCUUUUAUAAGGACGAGGGAGGUUAACUAUGAGAAGUUUUGUUCAAAUUAUUGGCCGCAUUUUAAUGUUGACUUCACUAAAAAGUUUGACUCGUCUAAAGUCUUUACAGAGAUGAUGUCUCAAAUAAAGGGUGGCUUGCAAGCAGGGCGAUCUUCAGAUGGUAGACUCAGCCGGGAGGAUUAUGUUAUGUUGUCUGAGGGUCGGAUAUCCACUUUAAGUAGGAAGCAGAGAGAAGCAAUAUAUGAUGCUUUUGAAGAUUAUGAAAAAAUGAAGAUAGCCAAUGGUGAUUUUGAUAUGGCUGAUCUUGUGAUUGAUCUUCAUCGUCGGCUUAAAACUGAAAAUUAUUUGGGAGAUAUGAUGGAUUUUGUUUAUAUUGAUGAAGUUCAAGAUCUUACAAUGCAGCAGGUUGCACUUUUCAAAUACAUCAGCAAAAAUGUGACUGAAGGCUUUGUAUUUUCUGGUGACACUGCACAAACUAUUGCCAGAGGGAUUGAAUUUAGGUUUGAAGAUGUCAGAUCUCUGUUUUAUAACGAGUUUGUUUUGGGAUCCAGAAGUGAGGGUACUGACAGAAUAAAGGAGAAAGGUCAGUUAUCUAAAAUUUUUCAUUUAAGCCAGAACUUUCGAACCCAUGCUGGUGUUCUCAAGUUAGCUCAGAGUGUUAUUGACCUCCUUUACUGGUUUUUCCGACCAUUUAUUGAUGUUUUAAAUCAUGAAACUAGUCAUAUAUAUGGGGAGUCGCCGAUUCUGAUUGAAUCUGGAAAUGAUGAAAAUGCAAUUGUUACUAUAUUUGGGAAAAAUGAGAACAUAGAAGGAAGUUUUGCCGGGUUUGGAGCUCAGCAAGUCAUAUUAGUAAGGGAUUAUUCAGCUAGGAAAGAAAUUUGCAAAUAUGUCAGGAAGCAAGCUCUUGUUUUGACCAUAGUGGAAUGCAAGGGCCUUGAGUUUCAGGAUGUCCUGCUCUACAACUUUUUUGGCUCAUCACCAAUGAGAAAUAAGUGGAGAGUUAUUUAUGAAUAUAUGAAAGAACAGAAUUUGCUUGAUGCUAGUUCUCCACCAUCUUUUCCAAGUUUUAAUUCAGGAAAACACAAUAUCCUGUGCUCUGAAUUGAAGCAAUUAUAUGUUGCUAUAACUCGUACAAGGCAGAGAUUGUGGAUUUGUGAGAAUAUAGAGGAAUUCUCCAAACCAAUGUUUGAUUACUGGAGGAAGAAGGCCCUUGUCCAAGUCAGAAAGCUGGAUGAUUCUCUUUCAUCAGCAAUGCAAGUUGCCAGCAGCCAAGAAGAGUGGAAGUCACAGGGUUACAAGCUUUUGCAUUUGGGUAACUACGAGAUGGCAACAAUGUGCUUUGAAAGAGCAGGAGAUGAAUAUGGAGAAAAGUUGGCUAAGGCUUCUGGGCUUAGAGCAUCUGCUGAAAAAAUGCAAGCUUCAAAUCAUGAAGAGGCUUCUGCUGCCCGUAGGCAGGCUGCUGAAAUUUUUGAGGCCAUUGGAAAAGCUGAGUAUGCUGCAGAAUGUUUUUUCAUGCUAAAGGAGUAUGAAAGAGCAGGAAAAAUCUAUUUGCAAUGUGGGGAUUUUGCUUUGGAAAAAGCUGGGGAAUGUUUCUAUCUUGCUGGAUGUUAUAGAUUUGCAGCAGAAGUGUAUGCCAAAGGCAACCAAUUUACGAAGUGUUUGUCUGCCUGUACUGAAGGAAAACUCUUUGACAUGGGCUUCCAAUAUAUUCAGUACUGGAAACAGCAUAUGACAGAGGAUAGUUGCAUUGUUAAAAGGAGCAAGGAAAUGGAUAAAAUAGAACAAGAGUUUCUGGAGAGCUGUGCUCUUCACUAUCACGAGUUGAAUGAUAACAGAGCCAUGAUGAAAUAUGUUAGAGCUUUCCAAUCCAUUGCUUCUAUUCGCACUUUCUUGGAGAAUUUAGGGUGCCUUGAUGAGCUUCUUUUAUUUGAAGAAGAAUCAGGCAAUUUCCUGGAGGCUGCAAAAAUUGCAAAGCAGAAAGGUGAACUUCUACUUGAGGCCGAUCUGCUUGGAAAGGCUGGACAUAUUAGGGAUGCAUCAUUGCUAAUACUUUGGUAUGUGUUUGCAAACUCUCUGUGGUCAUCUGGGAGCAAAGGCUGGCCCUUGAAGCCGUUUACAGAUAAGUUGGAGCUUCUAACAAAGGCAAAGUCACUUGCAAAGAAUGAUUCAAGACAAUAUUAUGAGUUUGUACAUAUGGAAGCUGAAAUCUUAUUGAAUGACCAGAGCAGCCUGUUCAUGAUGAAACAGCAUCUAAAUGCUUCUCAGGGACAGAAGAGUAUAAGAGGUGAAAUAUUAUCUUCUCGAAAAAUUCUGGAUGCACAUCUUAAUUUAAAUUCCAGUAAGUAUGAUUGGGAAAAUGACAUGGUUCUUGAUCUAACAAGGUUUUCAGAAAGUAAAAUUUCAAAAGAUCAGGUUUCUCUUGAGACACUAGUUUACUUCUGGAAUAUCUGGAAGGAUAAUAUUCAGAAAAUAUUUGAGUACCUGACAAGUCUUGAAGCACAAUAUGCUAGUGAAUGCGCAAGUUAUGGAGAAUUCUGCUUGAACUACUUGGGCAUUCGCAGGCAGUUCAGUAAUCUCAAUGCCAUCUAUCUUCUGAUGAUCCCUGAUGCAUAUUGGGCAAAAAAAAUGCACAGUCGAUUAAUCCAAAACAAUGGGAAGUUCAUUUCUCUGGGCGUUCAUCAGUUUGUGCCUGCUGCUCGGAGUUAUUGGAGUGAAGAAUUGCUUUCUGUUGGUCUGAAUGUAUUGAUCAAACUUGAAUCUCUUUAUAACCUCUCAGUUAAGAAUUGCUUCUCUUUCUUCUGCCAGAGCAGGGCUCUUAAUCAUAUAUAUGAAAUAGCAAAAUUUCUUUUCAAUUCCAAGUUCCUGGACUGCAGACAUUCUGACAAGAGGUUACUGCUUAAAUUCAUUGGAUUGACAACUGAACACUUGUUUGGCUGCAUUUAUCCGCUAGGCUGGAAAGAAUCAUUGAAAAAGAAUAUGCUUUCUUUAAGGAGAACGGAAGGUUUUAGAACUUUAAUCAAGGAUGUUGCUUUAGAAACUUUUAAUGUGAAUAAUCAGCUCUCAUAUGGGCAGCUUGGAAGGAUAACAUUGGCAAUUCUUGGUUCUGGUAAGAUGUGUAAUGAGUUAUAUAAGAAGAUUGUAGGUGGUUUAAGAUGGAAUACAUCAUGGAUGGCUUUGAUGGAGGAUCUCUGUUCAAACUCAGGGUCAGAAAUUUCACCAGACGGUAAAAUUGAAAUGCCAAGUGAUCAGCUUUCUGUGAUGUUGAAGUUACAUGGAGCUUUGGUAGAUACAUAUAAUGCCAACUGGAGGACAGAGAAUGACUACAUCUCACCUGGAGGUUUCCUAUACCUUGUGGAGCGCCAGCUGAUUUUGUUAUCUUGCUCACGCGGGUUUUUUCUCACUACAAAGUCUUCUUUUACUGAAUGGCUCAUCUACCUGGAAUCUGAUGGAAGCCAAAUUUCCAGUUCAGCAGAACAGGCACUGCAGUCUGCCAAUGGCAUGCUCGGGUUUUUAGCUAAUAUUGUUCAGCAGCUUCUUUACAAUAAGAUGGAAAUGAUGGAGUGGAUUAAAAAGUGUCACCCAAAUGCAAAGGAUUACUAUGCAGUUGUUGUAUUGAGACUAGUUGUUAUAGCAUGUUUGCUUGCUUUGAACUUUGGAUUGUGUAUGGACUUGCUUUUUGAGUUGCGGGGUAGGAAUUAUAUUGCUGAUCAGCUUCCAGGGGAAUUUUAUAAAGCCCUCCAGAAAAGGUGGAAGAACCGGAAUUUUCUGAAUGCAAAUGCAUUUGUAAAUGUGCUUGCUGAUGCAUUUCAGGAAAUCGGAAAUCCACUGGUAAUUGUGAGCUUGGAUAAAACUCGCCCUCAGUAUUCAUGUCAAAACGCCAUAUUUUUUGAUAUGAUCAGCCAAAGCAAAGAAGCCAUGUUCACAAUCUUGUUUCCUGAUAUCAAUAAAGCUGAUGAAACUAACAAAGAAAGUGUUGAACUGGACACUACUACCUCUUGCAAGGGAGUAGUGUCUCCUGAUGGAUAUGAUGAUGGCAAAAGAUCCAAUGUUGAUGAGAACAUUCCUUGCCCACGUGGCCAGAUUUGGGAACUACUUGGACAUUUAAAUUCAAUGAAUCAAGGAGAAGACAAGAGGUCAAUGGUAAAUGAUCCCACAAUUAAGGCAAAUAUAGAGAAGAUAAUUCUCCUUUUAAGUACUGCACUUAAGGGUUCUCCUGAUAAUGAAAACGUUAGCUUGCAUGGGGAAGCUGCCAUUCUACUAGAGGAUUUGAAGCAACUGUUUGCUGCAUUAGAUGUGAGAGUUGAAUCAACGAUGGCAGUGUCAGCCUUCAAAUCUUCCACUAGAAGGCCAACAAAUUCAGCAUCUGCAUCCGCCUCCUCCUCCAAAGAAGAAACCAAAUCCAACUCUCCAAACAAACCACCGUCUCGAAGAUCAAGAAGUGUAAGCGCUGUCUCAAGAUCCCACCAAGAAACCUCGUCAACAUCAUCGGAUUUCUUGUUUAAAAGAGACAAUCCACUCUAUUGGACCACUGUCUCCCCUCCCGACAAUGAUAAUCCAAAGUCUUCGGAUGCUGAUAUCAAGAGAGGAAGAUCGGUGUCCAGAGAUGUUGCUAAGAAUGUCUCCGGGAGCCCGAAAGAUGUCCAUAGGAGUCUCUCCAGGGUGGACACUGGGCGCCGCCGGUCUUUGUCCCGGGGUCCCCUGGCCAGGACCCAUCCCUUGAAUUCUGAGAGUGAUGCUGAAAGAGGUGGUAGCUUGUUGAACAAGCGCACAAAUAGAAUUGCUAAUGGCUCAAAUGUUGGGAAGAAGGUUAAUUUAGUCAGAGGUAGUAGUUCUGAUACGCUUGAACAGAUUGAAAACUUACAGGCGCCAGCACGAGGUUCUGCCACAAAUUUGUCGUCUUCACCAACUUUGAGCGGGGAUGAUGGAGUUUUGGGAAGCUCAUUCUCUGAAGCUGAAGAGAGAACUAGUAAGGCAAUUUAUGAGCAAAUGAAGUCAUUUCAAGGAGAUGAGUUGGGAGAUGAUGCCUCUAAUCAUAUAUAUGAAACAGUUAGAUCUGAAGUGAGACGUGCUAUUGCUGACAUUCAAAAUGAUCUUGAAAGUGCUGUCCGAAGGAGUAAUGCAACUACUAUUGCCAUCACCAAUGUAACUGACGUUCCUCCUGACUUGGUCAACCCAAGUGCAGUUGAAUUAGUUUUAGACAUCAGAAGAGAAUAUGCCAAUAAGCUUGAGCAGUCCCAAGAACGGGCUAGGAAACUUCGAGCUGACCUGGCUGUUGAGGAGCACCGUGGUUUAGAGCUGAGCAGAAUCCUUAGAGAAGUACUUCCAGAUCCCAAGAUCUCACAUACACAAAAAACUCGUUCAGGAAGAAAGUCUAGCAUUGAAAGAAGGAAGAUGUCAAAACGAUUAACCGAAGAAGCUAUGGCUUAUUUUGAUGAAUGUGUCUCACUUUCGACUUUUGAUAGUUCUGAUUUUUCUUCACAAGAGGACCCACCAAUCAGCUUGGUUGGCAUUAGGACUCCUGUUGGUUAUCGUACAUCCAUUUCUCAAGCCAAUACUACUAUCGCAGCCAACCACUGCCCUGACAGUUGCCCUGAUGAUAAACAGGAAUGGAGGACAUGUACUAGCAGCAGUAGGGAGUGCAUUCCUGAUGAAAACAAUAUAAAUAGCUCAGAAGCACGAUGGAGCCAUAGGACUCAGUUUUCUUUUGCGCACAAUCAAGGUGACAAGUUUGAAUUUCGGAAUGACAUUGGGAAGUAUGUCAAAAAUUUUGAGAGAAACAAUGGGAAAGUUAAUAUCAGUUCACAAAUUUUACAAUCAAAUCGCAGUGAUCUGGAUGAGUAUAAUUUGAGGGCCUCAUCAGAAAGCUUGUUAUUUGACAGGGUGUUAUUUAAGAAUAAAAUCGAGUCCGGUAGUAUGCUAUUAUGUGGCGGAGGCAUCACAUGUCCCUUUGCCUCUUCCAUAAUGUAAAUGAAAGCAGCUGGGACUUCACACGUUUGAGGACUAAGCAUCCAUAUCAACAACAGUGAUCUCAUGUAAUGCCAUCAGGGUGCUUUUAUGGAGUCUAUGUUGAUAAGGGAUUUUAACUUUGGCUUCUGGAUAGAAGAUCUCUACAUAUGUGACGAUGGCAUCUCAGCAGGACCGCACUAUUAAUACGGUGAUUUCCACUCCCAUUGGCUUUCUUACGGCUAAACUCUAUUGCGUCUCCUUCAUUUCUGUAGAUGUUCGCUUCAAAUUUUUCAUGGGCCUACUAUUUGUUGCGAUUUGUAGUGCUUGCAUGUUUGUCUUCUUCCUUUCUUUUUAUUUAUAUGUGUUUCGUGUUUAGCCGUUGUGAUGGGCUCUACUUUGGUGUUAUGGUACUCUAUUUUUCUU